UGUUAUACCUCACAUGCCAGACAGACAAGCGACUGUACAGUUUGUUAUUGAGACGAUAGCCCUGAGGAUAGGAGAGAGAAUCAUGAGUCACCUUCCAAACAGGUUUGAACUGGUGUGAGAUAAUGGUACAAACAUAUUUUAGAAACUGGUCUAAACUAGCCUGUAAGAAAGAGUGGUAGGUGUGGAUUCAAAAAAAGACCGUCACAUGCUAAGGAGAAAGGGAGCUGGACUAACAAGAAACUGUGGCUGCAACUGCCUGCGAAACAAAUACCAUGAGGAUUCACUAUGGAGGCAGCUUUGCCCAAAGAAGAAGGUCAGAGACAGAACUUUGCAGCCAUGCUGUAGGCAAACUGACUUUGCAAUGAGUGACAAGUAUGGUGCAGUAAAUCGUUGGUGGGAUAUUUAUGAGAAGGAAAACUGACUUCUGACCAUAAGGAUGGCAGAAGCAGCGCAGAAGGAAUAACCUAGACCCUGGCUGAAAGGCAGAGAGAAAGCCUGAAGAUGAGGCAAAAGACUAGAUUUGGUGACAAAAACAACUUUGAAUUUCUCUUCCCUUUCAAUAACUUGCAGUUCAUACAGUCAAUGAUGACUGCUGUAUUUGAGAGAGUUCAUUUCCUGUAUUGAUGGCCAAAGGAUUUAACUGAGUCUACAAGACCAAGAAAUUAUGCUAAGUAAAAAUGCAUUAGCAACUCUUGUGUACAGCAAACAAUUCUGGAAGCAACACAUUUUUCAGGAUGAGGGAAUAAUUCAAGUCACUCAUAGAAACUGACUGCAGGACUCUGAGUCGCCUAAAAGAUGAGGGAGUGGAUUUAUGUUUGUCUAGGUAUAGCUGAAUCACUUGAAUCCCACUCAUUGCCUCAAGGAAGAAAGGUUAUUCUGCAGAAUGGCUCAUCCCGGUAGGUGGGAUAGAACCAAUAAUUUUAUUUGUUCUGAGUCUAUAGUGCACUUCAUCCCAAAGAAUUCCAGAGCCUUCAGAUAAACUCUACAAAGGAAUCCCAGCCUCUGUAAAAGUGCUGUGGCAUGAGUCCAAAGCACUGCCUUUUACAGUAGUGUUAUUGCAGUGGGGGGAGGGAUAGCUCAGUGGUUUGAGGAUUGGCCUGCUAAACCCAUCGUUGUGAGUUCACAUUUAGGGAUCUGGAGCAAAAAUCUAUCUGGGGAUUGGUCCUGCUUUGAGACUAGAUGACCUCCUGAGGUCCCUUCCAAUCCUGAUAUUCUAUGAAGGAGGAAUUUUAGGCCAGGACUAACCCAUCAGAGGCACUGUAAUUUCUACUAUUACACAGAAAGUGUCUAGAGAGCUCUGCUGUCCCUGUGAGAUGCCUGGUUUGGAGGUUUCCUCUUCAAACCAUUAUCAAGAAAACAGCAUGAAACUCAUCUGCUUUGAAAAAACAAAGGUCUGAGCUGACCCCAUGGAGAUUUGAACUCAUGAUUUAAGGAAAUCUAUUGUAAGUACUUCAUACUUGAUGCUUAGAUCACAAAAUUACUGUAAACAAUAAAGAACACAAGGAGGCAAUAGAAACAUAACAAACUUCUGUAAUAGUCUGCUCCUUUGGGCUUGGCAAUAGGAACUGGGACAAGAACAGGAGCUUACCCCUUUCUAAGCAAAGCUGCCAUUUCUCUGUUCCUAACCCAACUCCAAUUUAGCAUUCCCUAGUCAUACAAUCCAGUAGAGUGCCCCAGUUCUCAGUGCUGCACCAUGAGCUGUGGAAUAUGUGCUGCUGGUUUGCAGAGAUCACACUUCUCAAAACGGCUAAGUGAGGGGUGAAGUGCUGUGAUCUCCCCAGAGACUUCUUAGGUAGGGAUCAAAAUGGGCAGAGCUCAUGUUGUGUGGGAAGUGUCAUCUUAAUGCUGCAUUUCCUGUUUUUCUCAUGUAGUGCUACAUGUCUUGUAGAGGACCUUAGCGCUGCAUUUCUUGGUUUCUCAGAUGUUUUGGGAAUUAUCACAUUCUGAAAGGGUACAAGGAGCACAGGCAGAGCUGAGUUACUACAACCUUAACUCCAUGUUAAAGAUUUUUGCUUAUGAAAUUGUGUUUGGUGCCCAUUGGAUGCUGAUAGUCACAUUUGCUAUUGCACACUUCUGAAAAAGUGUUACUGUGAAAUGCCUAAUAAAAAGUUACUAACGUGAUCAGGGAAGAGGAAAAAUAAGCAGAAUGUUUGGCUGCCUAUUUAAUAAAAUAUGAGAACCCAAUUAAACUAGCUGGGUAUAAGCAAUAAAAAAAUGAAGCUGACAGAUAAGCAAGGUGUGCAUUUAAAUCCAUUAAGAGAAUGAAGCUAUUCUUUACAGUCACUGAAACCAGUGACAGAAACACCUGUCUGAGGUAAGCCAGUACUCCGCAAUACUUCACAGUGAUCUUAUGAGAAAAGCUGGUCUUAAUUGAUUAUUAACUAGUAAAUUCCUGCACAAAGUGUUCUAAUGCAAAACUCAACUUUCUCUCCCCACCCUCCAGAUUCAGUAAUGAAGAUGCAAAUUGUUGUUUAAUAUUCAACUGCUGCUUCCUGUGAAGGUCUGAACAAGUGACAGUGGCAAUGUUAGGAUUUCCUCAGAGAUCUUUUCCACUCGGCUUAGCCAGAACACCUCUCCAGUUCUGGGGAUAACACUUUAUCCAGCUCUCUCGAAUCCAAGAAAUCAGCUCAACUCUGGACUCAUCGCUGAGGUUUCAUUAUUGGCAUACAAUCAAACUACACUUGAGUUGAUCAGGCUCAAGUGUAGCAGGUGGGUACAGGGUAUACCGCACUUUCAAUGUACAUAAUCAUGAGUUCACUUAUAUACACUCUUUUACUUAAUACUAUUGGCUAAUGUCACUUUAUGAUUGGUCUACUAAUUUUUGUACCAGUCUCUGUACAGAUCAUGAACUGUCCACAAGCUACAAAGUAUGCUAAUAAGCAAAGCUGCAGCUGCAAGUUUAUCACACAUUAACUCUUCUUACUAUUUCUUUAUCUACUAAGUACAUGUUAUUUACAAGGCCACUUGUGAGUUUAUGCUUUGUCCAGUGUUAACCUCUAUUUUCUUACUUCUGUUUGAUUGUUCAUGCAACAGGCAGGAGAUUAGAUGGGGAGAUAGAUGCACCAGAUAGCUUUCAGCUGGAUGGCAUCUGCCUGCAGGGGUAGCCUUUGCAUUCCUAAAGCAAAUAGUACUCUGGGAUUUAAAUAGUGGCUAGACAUAUGUAUAUAUCAGUAAGUCUAGCCUAGACAGCAUCUAAAUUAAGAGGUUAACUAAAAAAAAAAAUGAAGGAAGGAAAGGACCUCAUGCUUUAGGGUAAAAGCUAAUUUACUGUGGGAGUUGGGAAGGAAUUUUCUUUCCUUUAAAAUAAGUUUAAAUAUAAUAAUAAAGGUUUUUAUACUGUCCAUUCAUGCAUCAGGUGUCAGGCCACUGCUGGAGAAAGGAUGCUAAACUAGAUUGACACCGGUCUGUUUUAACAUGGCAGUAUCUGAAGUAUAGGGUAAUAUUAUAGCCACAUGUAAUGUACUAUGGUUCCAUAACAAUAUAUAACACACUUUAGAAACAAUAGCUGCAUUCUUGCAAAAUAGUUUCCCCUCACUUCCCCUGCCUCCAUUCUAUUCAGAUGGAGUAGGCGGACACAUAGAGCGAUUACUUUCAAUUCUGUUUGUUAAGUUUAAGGAAUAAAACACUAGUAUGACUGAAGCUCAUAAUGUGCCAGAGAGGCUAUACAAGACUUGAAUACUCAUGACCUACAGGGAAAGCAGAGAUUCUCAGAAAGCAAAUUGCCACAGUAAAAAGUGAAACACUGAAUACUAAUAAACCUUGCUAAUUAACAAGUCAUGUCAACUUUCUUCAAGUUAGUUGUUCUCACCCUCAAGAUAACACUUCACCAAGAUUUAUUAGCAGUGUUCCUUUAAAACCAUUGGAGGGCAGACUUGAACUGGAAGCUAUUUUUAUUUUUUUCAGUUACAGUAACUUAAAAUACCAGUUAGUCCCUUGUCUUCAUAGCUGACAGUACUCUCUCACCAGUUCUCCACUACUCUAAUUACUCUGGUGCUCGAUAAACCCCACUUUACAACUGCUGCUUUGACAAAGGAGAAGUGUUGUGCUGUGUGUGUUUAAAUAAAAAUGUUAACGGGGGAGUGGGUGACUCACUGUAUUAGCAGCCACAUAUUAUUCACAAAAGAGAAUCUACAUGGUUUACUUAAUUAUAUAUCUCAAAGCAUUUUACAAAGCAGGUCUAUAUCAUUAUCCCCAUUUUACAACUAGGGAAAUGGGCACAGAGCAGUGAUGUGACUUGCCGUUACCCAAAACGCAACUGGCAGAGCCAGGAGUACAGCCGAGAUCAUCCAGUUCCCAUAUGCUCUAUCCACUAAGAUGCUCUGCGCUUCUUUCUCAAGUAAUGAAAACUCCAUGUCAUGAACAAGUCUUUAUAGGAAACCAUACUUAUAGCCUCUAUUUUAUGCUCACAUUACCCAAUAAUAAUUUGACCAACAUACACAGCCACAUAUUUAAACUUUGAAAACAUCAUUUUAUUUUAAAAAAAGAGAAACUGCAUUCAAGAAAGCUUUAGUGAAGAAAUGAUUGCUCAUGCAGUCACUAACUUGUUUGAACAAUUGGAUGCUGAGCUAAUUUUUUUGCAUUAAAAAAUAAAAUCAAAGUAGGAAAGAAAGAAAGUGCUGCAAAAAACCCUAAACCACCUAGUAUAAUAACUUCAAUGAACCUUUCAAAUAAGGGGAAAAUAUUUAUAUUGAAUACAGGGGUCAGUAUUCGGCCAGUCCAAAAUAAAAAAUACAGAAUUUCUUAGUGAUAAGUUGAACACGAUAUGCUGGCUGUAAAUAAGUUAUUGGUUUCUACAAACUAGCUAGGAAGACACAUUCCUGUUGCUCCAUCUUGUGUGAUGGAAAAGAUGUUUAAAAAAAUAACUACAGUAUCAUUUGCUUAGGAAGGGCGGAUUGUGAUGUGCAAAUUGUGAAUUCUAUUUUAAUAUUCUCUACAUAUGGAUAACAAAGGGAAAAACAGUUGCCCUGUCAUUUUCAUCUGGAACCCUGAGAAUAAGUUUUGUGUGUCCUUGCAAAGAGUUGAUUGUAAAAACUAAGCAGAUACAGAAAUGAGACUGUCCAUUAAAAAACACAAUCUUUAAGUGUUUUGAAAUAAGUCUUCCAGUUAGUAUUUUGUUCUUUAUUUCUCAUGCUAUAGCAGUGUGUUUGGGGUAAGAAUAGAAACAGAGAAAUAUUUUGGCUAGUGUGUUGAGUUUAGUCAGCAUUUUUAUGCAAGUAACUUAUACUCCAUGAAUGAUAGGAUAAUUUUAAAAUGAAGGAUUAUGAGACUUUCAGAUAGAGGGAUUCUGUGGCUUCCUCUCUGAGUUUGUUUGUAUCACAGUUUCUUUAAUUUUAUAUUUUUUAGCAUAAAUAAAAUACAUUACAUGCCCCGUUAUCACAAACAGUAAGGAAAUUAUCACCAGCAACCCAAAUUGUUGCGGUUGAGGAGCUAGAAUAACCAUAAUGAAAUGUACAAGGUCCAUCAAGUAGUUCAUAGAGCUCUGCACACCAUUGACUAUCCCACGCUCUGAUUCUGGAAUGUUCUCCUGAAGAAGCUGGGUCACAGUCAAGUCAAAUGACCAAAGACCUGCAAGAGAACCGUGCUUUAUUAUAAAACCCAAGUGCUUAUAAAUUGUGCAUGAAUUUGUCCUUUGGAUUGUAGAAUAUUCUCUUAAGGAAAUGGAAAGCCCCGUCCAUUUAAAACAUUUAAAACUACAUUGAAUAUUGCAGUAGAAAAUAGAUUGUAAGUAGCUGUCCACUAUCAGCAGUGAAGGACAAAAUACCCUAAUGGGGGCUGGGAACCGAUCUUUAAAUUCAGUGAUUUCAAAUUAGGAGAGCUAUAGCAGGCUACCUUCAUAUGGAAGUCCAUUGAGCCACACUUCAUAUUGUGGCUAUGUCCACCAGUAUUCAGAUGAUAAACCAGUGACUCCUGUUAAAUACCCCUACUUUAGUGAUGGAAGAAUUGUGAAAAAGCUAAGAGUGUAAUGGCCUUAAAAUACCCAUUGUAAUAUCACUAAACUAACUAUAUAAUUCUGUUCUCUUGUAUCCCAUCUGAAGGACUCACUCACCCAAGAGAAUUUUUUGUAAAAUUAUAAUACAGUACAUGGAAUUUCUCUAAUGCACACACCUUAUACUGUACCUACAAAAACUAGUUUCUCCUCCCUUCUUAGGAAAGGAUUACUAGGAGAGUGCUUUUAUAAGGCCUCACAUUACUAAAGCUUAUAAUACAUAAUCUACCAUUUUGUAAGAAAUUAAUUUCAAUUGUUAAAAUAAGAAUGUGCAUUUCAUAAUGCAUUAUUUCCUCAUUUCCUUUUUUGCUAAAAAUUUGUAAUGGGGGUAUUAGUUAUUAGUGCAGAUUAGUAAAGUUCUAGGAUAGUCUGUUUUGAUAGUAGAUAUCAUUUUGAGUGAUAUAAAAAGAACUACAUGGGGAAACUGCAAGUUAAAAUAUGGAAGGGCCAUCUCAGCUCUGUCUUUGUUUAGUCAAACUCUUGACAUCCUUCAUGUAACUUUUCUAUUACUUCUGUGUUCAAAUUUAGUAUAAUUACCAGACAAAAACUAUGUUAAAAUGGAAUUAAUGUUGUGAGUAUAUAUCAAUAAUUUAGGGUAAACUACAUUAAAGGGAUGUUGUAAUGAUCUCAAAUGAUCUCCCAAGCACUGUAAACUUAGAAAAUUCACAAUGAAGAUUAAACUUAGAAGAAAUCCAAACUUGAUAGAGUAUAAAAAUGUAUAAUUAGGGCAACCAAAGCAACUUAACUCAGCCCUGUCAGACUCUUCAAACAUUCCAUAUACUUAAAACUCACUAAGUUCUUGUGCGCUUGAUUUUUUUCUUUUGAUUAAUGGUAAUUUUUCCUUGUAAUUCAUCAUAAAGUAUAGUUGUCAUGACGAAUUGCCCUCUUUCAAAAUGGCCACCUUCUCCUAAUGUUCUCAAUGGGACUGAAGGCCCAGCUGCGCAUAGGGAAGAUGAUGGCUUCUUAGGCUGUAAGGAGGCAGAUACACUCAAUCCCAUGCAGAAAAAGAGUUCUGCACCAUUCCCCAAAUGGCCACCAACUGAGGGCAACUGUAGUUUUGGUCUUACUGAGAACAAUAGAAGAUGUCAGUCAUUUUGAAAGAGAUUAGUUCUUCAUGGAAGUCUCUGAACUAAAGUAAACUAUUGUAUCCUUCAGCUUCUCCUGAAGGAGAAAUUUUCAUUUAUGCACAACAGGAAAAAAUGACCGCUAGAUCAUUUUCUUUAAUGAAAAGAGAUCUGACGCUAAAUUUCGUAAAUGCCCCUUUUUCAAUUAAUUUUAAUUCCUAAACUAAUUACCCAAUUUAUUUGUAACUUUACAGAAAAUUGUGUACUCAAAGAGCAAGUGCUGUAAUUUGGGGGAGGACAUGCAUAUUUACCAUACAGGGUUGGAUCCUUGCUUUAUGUUCAAACUCAACUCAACCUUAACUAUAGAGUAAUUACCAAUCCCUCCAUAAUACAUUUAGACUUUUAUAAAAUCAAAACAAAGUCAAAAAGACUUGUUACAUGAAAUAAGAAUAAUAUGUAAUGGAUGUACCAAAUUUAUAUUUAAAAAUGCACUAAACUUUAAAACAAAAAACAAAACAAAAAAACAUGAGUAGACUCACUGGAGAAUUCCAUUGCACCAAUGGUAUUUAGUUCAGGAAUACAAGGUAGGCUUGUUUGGUUUUGUUUUUCUUCUCUCUCCUUUUAAUUGCUGUGUGUAAAGUUAGUGCAUCAGCACUAACACAAUAGGUUACAGCCAGGUAUAGACUGAGAGCAUGCAUGUAGGAACCACAGUUCUUCAUGAUACAAUCUCCAUAGGCUUCAGAACACAGCUAUACCUAAAUGCUAACCUACAGUGCCUUUGCUAUUCCAACAUGAGCUGCUCUUGAACAGGCUGCCAGUUUAUACCAAUUAUAGUUUUGUGGAUGAAAACUAAAUAUGGCACUGAAAUGAGACUACCUUUCUUCACUUAUGAAUUAAUAAAGAUUUGAACCUAGACCUCCAGAGGUGACAGGCUAGCAUGCUGAGUGGUUGAGUCACCUAAUUCCUCUCCCCCCCCACCCAUCUCUCUGCCUUGUAAUUUGAUUUACUAAAAUAGGAUUUAUAGGAGAAGUAUAGUCUUUGUGAUGCUACUUCUCCCCCAUCUUUUCUAUUUCUGCAGCAUACUUAGGAUUCCAUGAAAAUGCUAAAUUUAAGUCAGCUAACAAUGCUAUAAUAGUAGCAUGAAAUGUCAUUGUCAUGUAGAUCUGUGUUGUUCCUCUGAGAGCCCUACCAACAAUUACAGGGGGAAAUCCUGAGAAUGCAACAUAAUUGUUUUAAUAAAACACAGAUAUGCUAAAAGCAGUCAAAGUGACUAGAAAUAUUUGCUAGAUGUCUAUUAAUGAAGACUCAAAUGCAUAAAUGACAUGUACUAUCUGCAUAAAAUAGUUGAAGAACAUGCUGAAUUGGCAUGUGCAUGAGAGAAACUAAAAUUACAUUUUUAUUGACAAGCAGUUCACGUAAUCCUGGGUACCAGAUAGUGAAGGAUUAUUUAAAGGCAUGUCAAUAUGGAUGCAGUAUGAAUACACAAAAUGUAGUUGUGACUGAAUACACCCCUGUAUUCACACCCCACACAUUAUUGUAAUAACCUUUGUACAAAAUAUGCCUUGUGACAUCAUUCGAAAACGAAUAACUCGCUGGUCAAUAAUAUCAUGAUGAAAUGUGUGUAGUAACAUUAUAUGUAAAGUUAUAAACAUAAGUUGAAAUCAGAUCUGAAGUGUGUUUACCAGACUAGUCUGAAUAAACCAGGUUCUCAAAGAGACAGGACAAGCUGAUGCCUCUAGCCACGUGUCAUCAAAAUUGAUGGGCCAUCAUCUGUCAAGUGGCUGUUCUUUGGCAAAGAAGGGUGGCAGUAACAGAUCAUCUACAUUUUAGCAAACAACAGCAUGGAACCUCUUCACCACAACACUCCAUGACUCCAUCCCGCAGGAAAAGGGGACUGGACUAUAAAGUGAGGGACAAAAACACCCCAAGUUCUCUCUUUCUCUCUCUCUCUUACCUAAGACGACAAAAGAAACAGCCUUUGAACUUUGGGAGCAGAUCCUGGCCUGAGAAGCUGGUCAGCAAUGUUAUUGGAAACAUGUGGUAAGGGACUUCACCUUGAGCCAAGUCUAGUUUGUUAAGUUUUAGUACUAGAAAGCGUUUAAUAUUUAUUUAUCUUGUAAUCAUUUCUGACUUGAAUGCCUUAUACUUAUACUUGCUUAAAACCUAUCUCCUUGUAGUUAAAUAAAUAUGUUUUAUUUCUUAAUCAAAA